rnacentral:rRNA from 1 species
AGAGUUUGAUCCUGGCUCAGGAUGAACGCUGGCGGCGUGCUUAACACAUGCAAGUCGAACGAUGAAGCCCAGCUUGCUGGGUGGAUUAGUGGCGAACGGGUGAGUAACACGUGAGUAACCUGCCCCCGACUCUGGGAUAAGCCCGGGAAACUGGGUCUAAUACCGGAUAUGACCUCGCACCGCAUGGUGCGGGGUGGAAAGAUUUAUCGGUGGGGGAUGGACUCGCGGCCUAUCAGCUUGUUGGUGAGGUAAUGGCUCACCAAGGCGACGACGGGUAGCCGGCCUGAGAGGGUGACCGGCCACACUGGGACUGAGACACGGCCCAGACUCCUACGGGAGGCAGCAGUGGGGAAUAUUGCACAAUGGGCGAAAGCCUGAUGCAGCGACGCCGCGUGAGGGAUGACGGCCUUCGGGUUGUAAACCUCUUUCAGUAGGGAAGAAGCGAAAGUGACGGUACCUGCAGAAGAAGCGCCGGCUAACUACGUGCCAGCAGCCGCGGUAAUACGUAGGGCGCAAGCGUUAUCCGGAUUUAUUGGGCGUAAAGAGCUCGUAGGCGGUUUGUCGCGUCUGCCGUGAAAGUCCGAGGCUCAACCUCGGAUCUGCGGUGGGUACGGGCAGACUAGAGUGAUGUAGGGGAGACUGGAAUUCCUGGUGUAGCGGUGAAAUGCGCAGAUAUCAGGAGGAACACCGAUGGCGAAGGCAGGUCUCUGGGCAUUUACUGACGCUGAGGAGCGAAAGCAUGGGGAGCGAACAGGAUUAGAUACCCUGGUAGUCCAUGCCGUAAACGUUGGGCACUAGGUGUGGGGGACAUUCCACGUUUUCCGCGCCGUAGCUAACGCAUUAAGUGCCCCGCCUGGGGAGUACGGCCGCAAGGCUAAAACUCAAAGGAAUUGACGGGGGCCCGCACAAGCGGCGGAGCAUGCGGAUUAAUUCGAUGCAACGCGAAGAACCUUACCAAGGCUUGACAUGUGCCAGACCGCCUCAGAGAUGGGGUUUCCCUUCGGGGCUGGUUCACAGGUGGUGCAUGGUUGUCGUCAGCUCGUGUCGUGAGAUGUUGGGUUAAGUCCCGCAACGAGCGCAACCCUCGUUCCAUGUUGCCAGCACGUAGUGGUGGGGACUCAUGGGAGACUGCCGGGGUCAACUCGGAGGAAGGUGGGGAUGACGUCAAAUCAUCAUGCCCCUUAUGUCUUGGGCUUCACGCAUGCUACAAUGGCCGGUACAAUGGGUUGCGAUACUGUGAGGUGGAGCUAAUCCCUAAAAGCCGGUCUCAGUUCGGAUUGGGGUCCGCAACUCGACCCCAUGAAGUCGGAGUCGCUAGUAAUCGCAGAUCAGCAACGCUGCGGUGAAUACGUUCCCGGGCCUUGUACACACCGCCCGUCAAGUCACGAAAGUUGGUAACACCCGAAGCCGAUGGCCUAACCACCUUGUGUGGGGGGAGUCGUCGAAGGUGGGACUGGCGAUUGGGACUAAGUCGUAACAAGGUAGCCGUACCGGAAGGUGCGGCUGGAUCACCUCCUU